AACUUUCAGCAACGGAUCUCUUGGCUCUCGCAUCGAUGAAGAACGCAGCGAAAUGCGACAAGUAAUGUGAAUUGCAGAAUUCAGUGAAUCAUCGAAUCUUUGAACGCACCUUGCGCUCCUUGGUAUUCCGAGGAGCAUGCCUGUUUGAGUGUCAUUAAAUUCUCAAUCUCUCUUUCUUUCUUGAAAGAGGCUUUGGAUUUGGAGUGUUGCUGGCUUUUUGUUGGCUUCUCUUAAAUGCAUUAGCUUGAUAUUCUUUUGUGGAUAGGCUUUGGUUUGAUAAUAUCUAUGCCAUUGCUGUGAAACAAAUGUCAGCUUCUAAUUGUCCUCUUCUUUGGACAAACUCUUUGACAUUUUGACCUCAAAUCAGGUAGGACUACCCGCUGAACUUAAGCAUAUCAAUAAGCGGAGGCU
rnacentral:misc_RNA from 1 species